rnacentral:rRNA from 1 species
UGAUGGCCUACCAAGGCGACGACGGGUAGCCGGCCUGAGAGGGUGACCGGUCACACUGGGACUGAGACACGGCCCAGACUCCUACGGGAGGCAGCAGUGGGGAAUAUUGCACAAUGGGCGAAAGCCUGAUGCAGCGACGCCGCGUGAGGGAUGACGGCCUUCGGGUUGUAAACCUCUUUCAGCAGGGAAGAAGCCUUUUGGGGUGACGGUACUUGCAGAAGAAGCACCGGCUAACUACGUGCCAGCAGCCGCGGUAAUACGUAGGGUGCAAGCGUUGUCCGGAAUUAUUGGGCGUAAAGAGCUCGUAGGCGGCUUGUUGCGUCGGAUGUGAAAGCUCGGGGCUUAACCUUGGGUCUGCAUUCGAUACGGGCAGGCUGGAGUUCGGUAGGGGAGAUCGGAAUUCCUGGUGUAGCGGUGAAAUGCGCAGAUAUCAGGAGGAGCACCGGUGGCGAAGGCAGAUCUCUGGGCCGAUACUGACGCUGAGGAGCGAAAGCGUGGGGAGCGAACAGGAUUAGAUACCCUGGUAGUCCACGCUGUAAACGUUGGGAACUAGGUGUGGGUGGCAUUCCACGUUGUCCGUGCUGUAGCUAACGCAUUAAGUU